GACGUCGAUAUUUGACGUCAUAAACACCAUCAAGUUUGGUGUUUAUGACGUCGAUUUUCGACGUCAUAAACACCAUCAAGUUUGAAAGUGUUUAUGACGUCGAAUAUCGACGUCAUAAACACGAUCAACUUUGGUGUUUAUGACGACGAUAUUCGACGUCAUAAACACCAUCAAGUUUGGUGUUUAUGACGUUGAUAUUCGACGUCAUAACCACCAUCAAGUUUGGUGUUUAUGACGUCGAUAUUCGACGUCAUAAACACCAUCAAGUUUGGUGUUUAUGACGUCGAUAUUUGACGUC
rnacentral:miRNA from 1 species